rnacentral:lncRNA from 1 species
AAGAUUAUGCUCUUUAUUCGCGAUAGAAAAAGAAGUUAAUUGUAAAAGUUUUUUUUUUUUUUUUUUUUUUGAGAGAUAGGUAGCACGCUACCUGCUUCGUUUAUUUCAUUUAGAAAUAAACUUAGUUAGAAAUAUGAAUCAACUAAGAUUCGAACUUGGGUCUCGAAUACCAACCACCGAAUUCUUUGCCACUUGCUCUAGAGACGGUUGGUUAAUUGUAAAAGAUUCAGUUGAAGGUGUUACAGUUAUCUUUGUAUUUAAUCCAUUUGAUAGUAUGUAAUUAGAAAUGUUGUAAUUAUAAAUUAUA